rnacentral:lncRNA from 1 species
AAUUCAAACAUAAUGAAUGCAAGUAUACAUGGCUUGCACGAGGGCAAGCAACAACCAACAUAAGUGAGAGCAAUCUAACUAUUACAUUUAUACAUUGUAUAUUGAUCACUUUCAAUCAAAUACAAAGCUUAUACAAUUUCUUUACAUUCAUUCAUCUCAAUUUACAAUUUCACCUCUCAAAGGAACUUAAUACAUUUUCACCUCUCACAUAAUUUUAUUACAUUUACCUUUUACAUUUUACAUCAUCGACAUAAUAGAUGAAAUAUACAAG